rnacentral:ncRNA from 1 species
CCACCGGUGCGCGACUGGCGAUAGGCGCGGCCCCUCCCCAAGAGGCGAGCCGCCGCUGACGUGGAUGACCACUGGGAAGCGCACCGCCCGCGGCUCGAGCCCGGGCGAUCAGCCGUUCGCCUGGGCAGCCCUU